CUUAUAAUUUUAUGGCUGUCGCUGUUCAUUCUUCCGUUUCGUAUAAAAUGUUGCGAGACUUUUUUUUCUACAAUCCAACAAUCGUUUUAUGCCUAACAAUGCACGAAGAAAACGUUACGUACAUAUGUAAUCUGUCACAUAUGGCAUGUGUGAGCGUGUAAGGUCGAUACUUGAGAUACCCCUGAUAAAAAAUGACUACCUGCCCUACCGUACCAUCGACAAUAACCCAACACUGUA